rnacentral:rRNA from 1 species
GAUGAACGCUGGCGGCGUGCCUAAUACAUGCAAGUCGAGCGAACGGACGAGAAGCUUGCUUCUCUGAUGUUAGCGGCGGACGGGUGAGUAACACGUGGAUAACCUACCUAUAAGACUGGGAUAACUUCGGGAAACCGGAGCUAAUACCGGAUAAUAUUUUGAACCGCAUGGUUCAAAAGUGAAAGACGGUCUUGCUGUCACUUAUAGAUGGAUCCGCGCUGCAUUAGCUAGUUGGUAAGGUAACGGCUUACCAAGGCAACGAUGCAUAGCCGACCUGAGAGGGUGAUCGGCCACACUGGAACUGAGACACGGUCCAGACUCCUACGGGAGGCAGCAGUAGGGAAUCUUCCGCAAUGGGCGAAAGCCUGACGGAGCAACGCCGAGUGAGUGAUGAAGGUCUUCGGAUCGUAAAACUCUGUUAUUAGGGAAGAACAUAUGUGUAAGUAACUGUGCACAUCUUGACGGUACCUAAUCAGAAAGCCACGGCUAACUACGU